CCUACGGGAGGCAGCAGUGUGGAAUAUUGGACAAUGGGCGAAAGCCUGAUCCAGCCAUGCCGCGUGUGUGAAGAAGGCCUUCGGGUUGUAAAGCACUUUCAGUGGGGAAGAAAGCCUUGGGGCUAAUACCCUCGAGGAAGGACAUCACCCACAGAAGAAGCACCGGCUAACUCCGUGCCAGCAGCCGCGGUAAUACGGAGGGUGCGAGCGUUAAUCGGAAUUACUGGGCGUAAAGCGCGCGUAGGCGGUCUGAUAAGCCGGUUGUGAAAGCCCCGGGCUCAACCUGGGAACGGCAUCCGGAACUGUCAGGCUAGAGUGCAGGAGAGGAAGGUAGAAUUCCCGGUGUAGCGGUGAAAUGCGUAGAGAUCGGGAGGAAUACCAGUGGCGAAGGCGGCCUUCUGGACUGACACUGACGCUGAGGUGCGAAAGCGUGGGUAGCAAACAGGAUUAGAUACCCCAGUAGUC
rnacentral:rRNA from 1 species